CCUACGGGUGGCUGCAGUGGGGAAUAUUGCACAAUGGGCGCAAGCCUGAUGCAGCCACGCCGCGUGUGUGAAGAAGGCCUUCGGGUUGUAAAGCACUUUCAGCGGGGAGGAAGGCGUUAAGGUUAAUAACCUUGUCGAUUGACGUUACCCGCAGAAGAAGCACCGGCUAACUCCGUGCCAGCAGCCGCGGUAAUACGGAGGGUGCAAGCGUUAAUCGGAAUUACUGGGCGUAAAGCGCACGCAGGCGGUCUGUCAAGUCGGAUGUGAAAUCCCCGGGCUCAACCUGGGAACUGCAUUCGAAACUGGCAGGCUAGAGUCUUGUAGAGGGGGGUAGAAUUCCAGGUGUAGCGGUGAAAUGCGUAGAGAUCUGGAGGAAUACCGGUGGCGAAGGCGGCCCCCUGGACAAAGACUGACGCUCAGGUGCGAAAGCGUGGGGAGCAAACAGGAUUAGAUACCCGGGUAGUC
rnacentral:rRNA from 1 species